GGGCCGUUGUUACAGACGCUCCGUUGGUCUCCGGGGCUACCAAGGCACCGUGAGGAGCGGGGCUCGGCCUACCUGCAUUUGGAAAUGGAGUGGGGAGGUGAAUAUUCACUUGAUUCUUCCAACUUGGAUUGUUUGUUAAAUGUACUUCCUGGAGAACUGGAAUUCCAGCAGGUACUUGUUGAUAUUGAUGAAAAAAUAAAGAAAAAUGCCUCCUGCAUGGAACAAUGUCUUAAGGAGCUGCAACAGGAAAUAAAUGAAACGUGUUCUGAUGAAUUGCUGCAGGAUACAACUGACUGCCUUCAUUGGUUGAAUAACUGUAGCUUCAGCUCAAUAAAGCCCUUUUCAACACCUCAUGGAGAAUUGAUCAGGUUUCUUCAAGCACUGCAAAAUUUGCUGAAGAAUGAACAAAAUCAAGAAGAAACUAUCCUUCAUUUUCUCCUUGAUCUGUCCAGUCAGUGUGGUGUCUUGUUUCCCUGUACUCCAAGUGGGUCAUCUUUUGAGUUUACAUCCAGUACUUCCCUUCAUGGAAUUGAAGAUGAUUCAGCAAUGGAUGUUCAGUGUAUUUGGAAUGAUGUGAGAUUACAUCUCCGGCGCUUUUUAGUAAACCAACUGCAGAAUCAUCAGGAAACAACCACUUGUAGUUUACAACAACAACUGCAAUUUAAAACUCGGUGUCUACAACAGCUUUUAUUUCUUUAUCCUGAGUCAGAGAUUCUUGCUAAGUAUCAAAAAAUGCAGAAUAAAUUGGUUAGUGAACUUUUGCAGAAAUGUGUUCUUGAAAGCAGUGGUGAAACAAAUUUUGAAAAGAUGGUUCGUGGCUAUGAAAGUUCAAUUCCUGCCUUGUGUGUAAUGAUAAAGGAAGACUUGUAUAUAUUAAAUGGAAUUACUGAUCCUUCUUCAGCACUGAAGUUCAUUAAUGAAACUUAUUUUGGUACCAUCACUGAAGAAUUAACUGUUCUUCUUGAAACUCUCUGUGAGCUUCAGUUUAAAGAAAAUGCUUUACAUGGUGUUAAGGCAAGCAAGAACACAAAGAAACACAGAGGAAUAGCUCAUGUUGGGGUUGCUCAGGAAUUUUCUAGAAAAGGGAGAAACUUCUGUUUAACACUACAUCAACUCAGGUGCCUUUCCCAAUUUAUAAACCUUUUUUUGUUGAUGGAAGAAAAGGUUGAAGAACUGUCUUCAGAAAUGCUGUUAUUACCAAGUUUUUCUGAGGACAAAAAUGUUCAAGGAGUUCUGAAGAAAGCUGGUGGGGAGCUUUUAAUAGGGGAAAGUGGAACAAAUGACACCAGUGUGCUUCCAGAGCAGUUACUUCAGGUAAAAAAGUCUACCAUUUUGGAGUUCAGCUGGAGAAGUGCAUUUAAAGACCUGUCUUCUUCCGUGGCACACUGUAUAACAAUUGCAGUUGAAGAUUUUUCUAGUAAAAUUCUUCAACAGGAACAGAAUGAACAGACUUCAGCUACCUGCUAUGCGAUGCGUCUCAUAAAUGUGCGACACAUGAAGGAAUCCUGGGGUGUAGUUUAUGAGGAAGAACAACCAAAACGAAUUGCAAAGUUUUGUUCUGACAUCAUGGAAGAGCUUGACACAUUGCUUCCGUUGGCUUUGGCUUGCAGAGAUGAGUCUCUCGAGGAAAUCAGAGCAAGCUUUGUAGAGGCUUGUUGCAAAGUAGCAACAGCUAUACUGACAAGGUUGGAGGAGAGAAGUAAAGAUAUCCCUUCCAGAGCUCCACUGCAGAAUCUCUAUACUAUUCUCUCCACAGCAGUGCACGUCUAUCAGCAUUUUAAGAUGUAUCAUAAUUUGAUGAAAGAGACCAAUAGAAAACCCUUACUUGAAGAGCCUCUCCAACAGUAUCAGGAAUUGAUCAAUGUUCUUCGUUUUCAAGUUGCAAACUACUGCAUCAGAAUUUGUGCUACUAGCAUUUUACAGGAUGCUGAGAGUCACUACUGGGAUGAUAACAAAGCUUUUUAUGAGGGAGAAAGAUGCUCAUUCUCUGUCCAGAUGUGGCAUUAUUUCUGCUGUGCUCUUCAUCAUGAUCUAUGGGCUGUUCUACCCCCUGCGUUAGCCCAGGAGAUUCUAAAAGAAGUACUGGAAGAAACAUUGGCACUUUUGGCUUGCAGAUAUUGUCAAGCGCAUCCCAGUUACAAAAGAACAUCACAGAUAAGGAUAGAUGUUACAGCAAUUCUUAUGAGCUGUGAGAAAAUGCUGUGGUCAAUUUGUAGCUCUGUGCAAGAACUUCUGCGACCGCAUGAAGACAGAAAUCCUCAUAUUUGUAAAAUACACAGACAUUGCAAUAAUUUACUAGCAGCAGGUGUCAUUUUAACAACACCGCUAGAGAAUCUGUGCAAAACAUUUCAGAAUAACUCCAGUGAUACCUUGCCAUCAGAUUUUUCAGAGUCUACUGUGUAUCAACCAUUACACUGGUUAACUGGCAUAGUAGAAUUUUCCCCAUCUUUACUGAAGACCCCAUCAGCCAGAGAAAUGGCAGCUCAGGGUCAACUGAAACUCCUCUUAUCCCAACCAUUUUGUAAUUGGAACUUGCUUUUGGAAACGUUGCUACAUCAUAAUUGUCUCCUACUGAAAAUUUUAUUGAGAAGUUCAAAACCUGAAUUGUCCAAAGGUCAAGAACAAAAUAUUUGCCUAGACGUGAAGAACAGAAAAGAACCUAGUUUAGCUGAAGCAAUCUUUACAGUGUUGUCUUAUUGUAAUUUAUCUCCCAAAUCACUUGGUAAUGUUCUUCAGAAUUAUAUGGAAAAAGAACAGCUGUGGGAUUGCUUCCACAAUAUAUCAGUUUCUAGCUGUGGUGAAUCAGAGCCAGAGGUUGUCAGAUGCUUGAAACUCACCUUGAUUAAUUCAGUUAAGGGUAUAGUGAAGCAGAUUAUUUCUUUGAUGCACUCAUGGGAAGCAACAGAGAACUAUGGAACCUAUCAGCACAAGCAAAUUGUUCCUGAAAGUUUGCUGAAGACUGUUCCAAAGGAAUGGAAUUACACACCUAGAGAAAUGAAGAGAAAAGAAUCAGGAAAAUGCUUCACAAGACUUGCUGCUCAUGCAGUAUCUAUUGUAAUCAGCAAGUUACCUACUGUGAUUGCAUGUUUGCCUCCCCCAGUUAAGUAUUUCUUUUUUCUAUCUGAGAAGAAAAUGCCAAAAAACUUCAUUGAAUCAAAAAAAGCUGGUCUUCUUGUCUGGAUCUUGAUUCUAAUCAUAUGUCGGAUAUUUGAGGAUGGAAACACCACAGAACUUUUAACUGGUACAACUCUUGACAGAUGGAGUAAAGAGAAGCUCACCUUAAUUCAUGUAUGUUUGGAAAGCAUUUUAGGGAAAAAGAAAAGCAGCCCCAAACAAGUGACACACAAGAUUAUACAGAGCAUUGAACAACAAAGGCCAAACUGGAUAGAAAACCAGCUACUAAAGGCAAGAAAACUAAGCAUGGAUUGUACUGUUAUUCUUGCAGAAGAUGGUAAAAGCUUACAAGAGGAAGCUAUUGAGCUUGAAUUGACUGAGCAGAAAAUAGACAUGAUGGUCCUGGAUAUCUGCCACAAACCAGGUGGCUGUGAAUACCUGAGGCAAAUUUAUCACAUCAUCCAGCUCAAUGAGGAAUAUUUGUAUGAACAGCUGUCUAACGAGGGCUCAUCAGAAGAAGGCACAGAAAGUAUUCAGCCUUUAAAUGUGACACCAAGAAACAAAGAACGGCCUGGUUUCGACCCUUUCCAGGUUCACCACUCCUAUUGCACUGAUGUCUUAGAAAAGUUCACCGUUACUGAAUGGAAAUGGGAUUGGUCAAACUUGCUGCCAAGUUAUCUUGGAUUAAAUAAGACAACCUUCAAGGCAUUACUGGCACACAGAUGGGAGAUGAAAGAAGAUGAAGUUUUGGAAGAGGAGGAAAAAGUAAUGCUGGAGAAUUUAAGAACACUUUAUCUCACGCCAACCUCUCUUGCUUCUGAAGAUAACAUUGAACAGAGAACAUGAUACAUGCUGUUUUUGUAAACAUUCUUAAGAUUAAAAAAAGUAAAGCAGUCUGUGAUAACUUGAAAAUUGAUUGUAUUCCAAAGAAGCUCUGUGUCAGCUAGUUGUGGUGUUUUCUAGAGACCAUUUAGGCAUUAUAUUUUGUAAUUUGUUGUCUUGUUUGUUUUUGUAAAUGUCUUUUUUCCUUGUAAGCAAUAUAAAAAUAGUUUUCAAAUGUUUUAAAAUAGGAAUGUAAACUUUACUGAUAAAACUGUUAGAUUACCAGCAAAUAUCUACUAAUCUUGAAACAUCCUGAAAACCAGAGGGAAACACUUCUGAAAAGAUGUACAGAAUUUGACUCGGUUCCAAACUUUUUCAACUCCUUUUCAUCCCUGAUCUUGGUGGAUCAGUCCCUUCUCCUGCUGCAGUAGGUAGGUGAAAGGGUGUGGGGCUGGCCCGGGCUACCUUUCGUAAGGGUGGUGGCCUCUGGCCCUGCUCUACCCUUUCUUCCCUGAUGCUGGGCACAGGGCUCCCUUACCUUAUGUGCAACUCGUCCUCCUUCCCAGGUCCGACUUCCAGCCCACUCCCCUGGGCCUUUAGUCUCAGGCAGGUGGGCAACCCCUCUGGGGUUGCUGCCUAAGGACCACUUCCAGGCCACAGCAUAUUGGAAGGAAGCAGAGCCAGAAAGGGCACUUCUUGCCCUUUUCCAUCUCCACCCCUGGUGGCAUGUCCCCUUUGCAUGCUGCUGCUAUGGGAGGUACGGAGAGGGGUGUGGGGCUGGCCUGGGUCACCUCCUGUGAAGGUAGGCGGCAGCUGCCUCCAGCCCUAUCCUGCGCCACCUUUUCCUCCCCAAUGCUUGGUGUGGCGCACCCUUUCCUCACACACGGCUCAUCCUCCCAAAGUUCCACAUCUGACCUGCUCAGUGGGGCCUACAGUCUGAGGCAGGUGGGCAGGAUCCCUCCUCUUCCGCUGCUGCCUUGAGGCUGCUUCCAGGCCACAGCACCUCAUGAGAAAGCAGAGCCAGAAAGGGGAACUCUUGCUCCCUCCCAUCCCACCCCUGGUGGCUUGGACCCUUCAUCCACUGCUAUAUCCUUUUUUCUGCUGGCAACACGGGCACGAUAUUUUGCAGCAAUAUUGGGCCAUUUCCUGGCUUUUUAAAUCAAGGAAACAGAAGCACAGUGCCCCACAUUCAUGGGUCUUGCAAGCAGAAAUUUAUAUUAUGCUAACAUGGGUUGGGAUCUUGGCCAUGGUUCUGAGGGAAUAACAGAUAAGCGAGCAUUGUGAGUAUAUUUUAAAAAUCAAAUCAAUGUCAGUAGAGAUUGUGGAGAACAGCAUAAAAAUUAGAAGCAACAGUCAAAAUAACCUUAGUCAACAAUAGCCAAAACAAAUAAAAAUAUUUCCACUUGACUGCUGUUCAAUCCAACAUCUGCAAGGACAGCAUUCCAUAGCUAGAGCACCAGCACUGAAAAGGGUGUGUCCUCAGUUAUUUCCUGCAUAAGGAAGUAAUAGGCGAAGGGCUAUCGAACAUAGGAUAUUCCCAUAUACUGGCUUAAAUCUCAUUGCAUAGGUUUCAGUCUGUUUCUUGUCAGUAAAUAAACAACCCCCAGCAUUAUUCAUGGAAGCAUUCACGCGCGCGCGCACACACACACAUGCCCAAGAAUUGUGGCGGGGUCUCUUUAUUUUCUGGUGAGGAAUGGACAGAAGCAUUACGGUUUUGCAGAAUUUCAGUCACUCAAUCAGACCACUAGCCUGUCUAGCCCGCUAUUCUUGACAGUGACUGGCAGCAGUUCCACUGGGGUUCAGGUAGAAGUCUUCCCAGCCUGACCUGGCUCAAAUUCAAUUGCAAAUCCUAACUAGAAUAGACCGAUUGAAUGAGUCACUUACUAAUGAAUCAAGGCUUGUGUACAUCCCAUUGAUUCAAGGGACUAGCAGUUGGACAUAGCCCUAAAGAUUAAAAAUAGGAAUGCACUGUACCCCAUAGUUUGACUCAAUGCUUGAAGAUACUUGCAUUGAGUACUUUUCAAUUUCACCUUCAAACUCUGAAUGGUGGAAAUUGUUCAACAAUUAGUUUUGUGGCUUGUGAAGAUGUAUUCUAGUUUUUAAGAAGCUGCUUAUUUUUCUAAUAGGUGACACUGAAUUUUUGCAGUUUGUGAAUGAAUUAUUUCCACAUUUACUUUCUUCAAAAUCAUUAGGAUUUUACAAAAUGUCAUAACGUCCUCUUAAGUUGUCUUUUUCUGAGAUAAAAGCUCCUGUUAUUAAGCUCUUCUUACUAAAGAGAACACUUAUCCCCUCUCACGUUUUAAAUGCUGCUUUCCAGCGCUCUUCUGCUGUUAGUAGAUGUCUUCAGGAGUGGAACUACCAAAAUUUAAAUUCAUUUAUUUGCCUUGUGUGGGGAAUAUUGCAAGGAGAAAGCUGCAGUUUUGGCUGCAAGUUUUGUGGGAAAGCUCUUUGCCAAAUUUGGUGAAGACGGAACAAGUAAUUUUAAAGUUCUGAUUUCUAUUUUUAAAAUAUCUCCCCUCUCCUCUAUGAUCUCAUUCUGUAUCAUACGUUUGCAUCUCAUAGCAAAUUUAGUACAGUAGUAUUUCAAAUGCCUACCACUGCAUUCUGAAAUGGAAAUUAUUCCUGCUAUGUACUUUUUUAUUUGCUAAUACUUCAGAAAAGCAAUAGCUGUAGUAAGUAACAACUAGAGUACUAGUCCAGUAGUAAGUCACAACUAGUGUAGGCCCAUUGAAUCAGUGGGUGUAUGGUAAAUCAAGUCCUCUGUAGGUUCCACUUAUACAAUGGGCCUACUCUACUUGUAAGUUACUACCAGAUUUCAGCCAAUUAGUUAAUUGAGUUCAACAGAGAUUACUUCUGGCCAAGAUAGUGAUGUGGGACAUUGGCCUUACAACACAUGGAGAUGAAUCAUGGAAGUAGGGAGGAGAAAGAAAGAAGCACCAGGGAGAGAAGAAAGAGAGAUGACCCAGAGAGAAAGAGGAUAAGAGUCCUUCUCUGGAAUGUUUUGUGACCACAAGAAUCCAAAGUAACUCUUACACCACCUCCACUUGUUUCAUGCCUU